rnacentral:tRNA from 1 species
GGACGUUUGGUGCAAUGGUAGCACGAUCGGUUGCAACUCGUAGAUCCGGUAGUUCGAAUCCCGGAGCGUCCG